rnacentral:rRNA from 1 species
CGUGAGCGGCGGACGGGUGAGUAACGCGUGGGUAACCUGCCUCCAUACAGGGGGAUAACAGUUGGAAACGGCUGCUAAUACCGCAUAAGCGCACAGUACCGCAUGGUACGGUGUGAAAAACUCCGGUGGUAUGAGAUGGACCCGCGUCUGAUUAGGUAGUUGGUGGGGUAACGGCCUACCAAGCCGACGAUCAGUAGCCGACCUGAGAGGGUGAACGGCCACAUUGGGACUGAGACACGGCCCAA